GUAUGUUGAAGGCGAUCUGGCUGCAACAUCUGUCACCCCAUUGAUCGCCAGGGUUGAUUUGGCCGAUCUGGCCGGCUAGGCGGGUGUCCCCUUCCUCCCUCACUGCUCCACGUGCGACCCUCCAGAAGCUGCAUGCUCAGUUGAAGAGGACGACCCUCCCCGAUAGAGGAGGACCGUUUUUGUGGUCAGGGAUGUAUGAGUAGCUGCACUCCUCUGCUAGAACCUCCAACAAGCUCUCAAUGCCCCAUAUCCAUUUUUUACACACACUGCAGAUUCCCAUAUUGACACUUUUUU
rnacentral:sRNA from 1 species